rnacentral:rRNA from 1 species
GACGAACGCUGGCGGCGUGCUUAACACAUGCCAGUCGAACGGAAAGGCCCCUUUGGGGGUACUCGAGUGGCGCACGGGUGAGUAACACGUGAGUAACCUGCCCUUGACUUCGGGAUAACUUCAGGAAACUGGGGCUAAUACCGGAUAGGAAUCCUUGCUGCAUGGUGGGGGUUGGAAAGCUUCGGCGGUUUUGGAUGGACUCGCGGCUUAUCAGCUUGUUGGUGGGGUAGUGGCUUACCAAGGCUUUGACGGGUAGCCGGCCUGAGAGGGCGACCGGCCACAUUGGGACUGAGAUACGGCCCAGACUCCGACGGGAGGCAGCAGUGGGGAAUAUUGCACAAUGGGCGGAAGCCUGAUGCAGCAACGCCGCGUGCGGGAUGACGGCCUUCGGGUUGUAAACCGCUUUCAGCAGGGGCGAAGCUUGUGGUGACGGUACCUGCAGAAGAAGCACCGGCUAACUACGUG